AAGAGACAGCAGUAGCCGCGGUAAUACAGAGGGUGCGAGCGUUAAUCGGAUUUACUGGGCGUAAAGCGUGCGUAGGCGGCUUUUUAAGUCGGAUGUGAAAUCCCUGAGCUUAACUUAGGAAUUGCAUUCGAUACUGGGAAGCUAGAGUAUGGGAGAGGAUGGUAGAAUUCCAGGUGUAGCGGUGAAAUGCGUAGAGAUCUGGAGGAAUACCGAUGGCGAAGGCAGCCAUCUGGCCUAAUACUGACGCUGAGGUACGAAAGCAUGGGGAGCAAACAGGAUUAGAUACCCCGGUAGUCCCUGUCUCUUAUAC
rnacentral:rRNA from 1 species